rnacentral:rRNA from 1 species
UGAGGAAUAUUGGUCAAUGGGCAAAAGCCUGAACCAGCCAAGUCGCGUGAGGGAAGACGGUCCUAUGGAUUGUAAACCUCUUUUGUCGGGGAGCAACGACGCCACGUGUGGCGGAAGGGAGAGUACCCGAAGAAAAAGCAUCGGCUAACUCCGUGCCAGCAGCCGCGGUAAUACGGAGGAUGCGAGCGUUAUCCGGAUUUAUUGGGUUUAAAGGGUGCGUAGGCGGAACGUUAAGUCAGCGGUAAAAUUGCGGGCUGCAACCCUCGUACCGCCGUUGAAACUGGUCGAUUCUAGAGUGGGCGGAGAAGUAUGCGGAAUGCGAGGUGUAGCGGUGAAAUGCAUAGAUAUCACGCAGAACUCCGAUUGCGAAGGCAGCAUACCGGCGCCCAACUGACGCUGAGGCACGAAAGCGUGGGGAUCGAACAGGAUUAGAUACC